GACGAACGCUGGCGGCGUGCUUAACACAUGCAAGUCGAACGAUGAACCCGGAGCUUGCUCCGGCGGAUUAGUGGCGAACGGGUGAGUAACACGUGAGUAACCUGCCCUUGACUCUGGGAUAACUGCUAGAAAUGGUAGCUAAUACCGGAUACGACCCUCGGUGGCAUCACCAGGGGGUGGAAAGAAUUUCGGUCAAGGAUGGACUCGCGGCCUAUCAGCUGGUUGGUGAGGUAACGGCUCACCAAGGCGCCGACGGGUAGCCGGCAUGAGAGGGUGACCGGCCACACUGGGACUGAGACACACGCCAGACGCCUCCGGGAGGCAGGAGUGGGGAAUAUUGCACAAUGUGCGCAAGCCUGAUGCAGCAACGCCGCGUGAGGGAUGACGGCCUUCGGGUUGUAAACCUCUUGUGGUAGGGAAGAAGCGAAAGUGACGGUACCUGCAGAAAAAGCGCCGGCUAACUACGUGCCAGCCGCCGCCGUAA
rnacentral:rRNA from 1 species